UUGUCCCUGCGGUGCUCGUGACUUGGCCAUACAUUCUCUGAACCGAUGCUUUUCGGCAUACUGGUUGCGGGAGUGUCGAGCGGGUGUGAUCGUCUCUUUGCUGACGAACCCGAUGCUCUUCGGAUCGCGACCACCUUGAACCUAUGGGUUCGAGAUGCCGGCCUAGACGGCACUUGCGGGGCAUCU
rfam:Bordetella avium 197N complete genome